AACAGUUUUGAGAAGUACAUUGUAUAUAAAGGAACAUUGUCUAGUGGAGUCGAGAUUGCUGUUGAUUCUACUAAUGUUGCUUCUACUAAGGAUUGGUCAAAGAACAUGGAGAUAGCCUAUAGAAGAAAGAUUUUCUUCCUUCUUAUGUCAAUGGAAAUGGAAACACUGAGAGUUUCAAUUCAAUUGAUUGAUGGAAUUUCAUGUUUCAAACUUAACUGUUUAGCCAACUUAUUUCCUUACAUACAUGCUUUCAAAUUGUUGCUCUAUCCCGUUUUAACUAUAAGAACUUUACCAAUCUUAUUGAUUAUUGUGACAAAGACGAACCAUUCACAAGGAUGA